UUUCCUUUCCCAGCUCAGUGAAAGUACAUUCUGAAAUCACGCUGGCAUCUCAGUUUCAGGGCUCGUUUCUCUGCACACACAGAACUUAGAAGCCGCUAUCCAAAAUGAUCAUUAGUGGAAAAGGAGACGGUGGGGGACUCCGGGAGCUCUGGAAGAGGCUGUUUUAAGUGUAUUGUAUCCAUCAAACCCUCCCGCAGGAGUUCUGGCAGAGAACAGGAAUGCCAAUAUGCGGUGGCAGCAUUUGGCUUGCUGGGAGCUGGAUGUGGGCAGGACAAGCUGGGGCUCACCGAGCUGCUGCUGCGGCAGCCCCUGCGGCUUCCAGCAGGUGAAACGGGGUCAGAGCAAUUCCUGGGAACUGUCUGUGAAUUCCCCGCAGGAAAGGCAGUUACUGAAGAGAAGCUCAUCUGUGAAGAACCCCAUGCAGCAAGAUGUCCUGCCUUGAAUAUACCUGUGUGCGACUCCAGUGACUCAGACUCUCAUGAGGAAGCAAACACAAGCAGGGGUGAGCCAGACCCUGCAGUCUGAAGCCACGUCACGACAGCAAGUGGUGAUUCCUGAGCUCUGCUUCCCACCUGCACAUUUCAUUCCUCCACCAAGUCUGCACAGCAGGAUUUCAGAUGAGGAAAAGCAAGAAGUUUGUUUGAUUUCUGCCUGUUAUCUAACUCUCCCUGAAACUCAAGAGACUGUUGGCUUUUGCAAGUGUGGCUGCUCCCCUUGGGUCCCUGCCUACAGCAUGCAUUGAAGGACUGAGCUCAAGAUAAGUGAUUUCAGUUCGUACCGGUGCAUACAAAAAGAAGAAAUAAA